CCUACGGGUGGCAGCAGUGAGGAAUAUUGCACAAUGGGCGGAAGCCUGAUCCAGCCACGCAGCGUGCAUGAUGACGGCCUUCGGCGUGUAAAACCGUGUUGAUACGGGAGUAACGCGCCUUAAGUGUAUGGCUUUGCAUCGACCGUAUGAAUACGGACCGGCUAGUUACGUGCCAGCAGCCGCGCUUAUACGGAGGGUACGGGCGUUAUCCGGAUUUAGUGGGUGUAAAGGGAGCGGAGGCCGCAUGUCAAGCGUGCUGUGAAAUGUCCGGGCUCAACCCGGGCAGUGCAGUGGGAACUGGCGGGCGUGAGUGCGGGGGAGGCAGGCGGAAUUCGUGGUGUAGCGGUGAAAUGCGUAGAUAUGACGAAGAACACCGGUGGCGAAGGCAGCUUGCUGCAGCGGAACUGACGCUGAGGCUCGAAAGCGCGGGUAUCGAACAGGAUUAGAUACCCUAGUAGUC
rnacentral:rRNA from 1 species